GUGGAUUGAUGGGAACUGGAGUCAGAUGGCUGCUGCAGGGACCAGGAUCAGUCAAUGCUUAGAGGAGUGGCCUGUGAGAAACAUCGAGGAGGCUGCUCGCACUUUCCUGAGGAAGGAACAUAUACAAGGGAAGAAAAACAGUGAAUUCAAGAGCAUGGAGCUGCUGAAAAACAAGGUUCUCUUCCCCCUCCCCUAUGAUAACAAUGCUGUGAGUAAAGCUUCAUCACCAGUGUUAUGUACAGCUAUUGCAGCACAGGGCUGUCAGCUCUGGUUAUUUAGAAACUCAGCAAAUGGAUUGCAUUACUUCUUCAAACAGUCUCCUGAAACCAGGCUGUUGAGCAGAACAGGAGGCACCAGUGCAGCUAGAGACUGUCACAUGGUUUGAAUUGAAGCAAUCAUCUUUCCUCCACUCCCCUUGCAGCAUCAAGGAGUGUCAGUGUUGGUGCUCAACCAGGGAAUUGAAAUGCAACAUAAACGUGCUGGUUUUUUUCUUUUGAGUGGAAGUUUGGAACUGUUCCGUUGGUCCAGGGUGGAAGUAAAAUAUUCAGUAAAGAAUAAGCCUCACAAAUACAAAACUAUAAAGUGAGACUGUAGCAUGCAGUGGGCAGUUUAACCUGUUUUUUUGGUUUCUACUGCAUCAUGGUAGUCUGUGAAAAGUUUGAAGUUUGUGAAAAUUCCAGUAGCAUUAUCAAGUCUGUUGCAUGGAAAUUCCUGUCAUUUUGUGGAGCAUUUGUAGUAAAUUACCAGACUCAGAGUACACAUUGGACUUGGAAUAUUUAAUUGGAAUAUUUAGUUCUUAUGAUGCUCUACUACCAUUAUGGGCCUUUUAAUAUUUCAUCAAUGACUUCCCACGUAUAAAAUGAAGCAGCAGGAAGAUAAAAUUCCUUUUGGCCAUAAGAGGGCAAUGGCUACAGAAAUCCAUCGUUCAGUAUAUAGGACCAACUUAAAAAUGAAUAUAAUGAUUUCUUUUUCACAACCUAAUUUUUAAUUGUUAAAUGUGUUCUAAACAACACUGGAAUUGCUGGCCCUAAAAUAUGUUCUGUGUGACCCAAAUACAGGACUGUUUAUAACUGGUUUAUAAAAGCUGUAGAUAUUUUGCUUCUGUGGGACUUCUGCGGUCAGUAGCACUUACCUGUACUGUUUGCUUUUGGUCUUCUGCUUAGGGAUUGUGUAGAGCCUAAAACAUUUAAAAAGUAAAGUUAAAUGGAAAGCAUCUGUUUGCUCAUAGUACCACCUUCUUACACUUUUAGUUUAUGAUUAAAGAUGUGAGAAAACCACUGCAUAUAAAAUCCUUUGGUAUCACAUUGCUGCCAGUGCUGUCUACAUGCUGCCUUUACAAGCUUCUUUUCCAGUCCACAGAUUGGCAGAUAUAGUUUGUCCUUUUCAGUGUCAGUGACAAGAGCUGGUGGGUAUGAAAUAUGACCAUGUUUGUGUUUGGAAAAAGUCAAGUAUUUUUUGCUUAGAGAAUUUUUAUUCUCAAGUGAAAAUGAGAAGAAAGCUGAGUUAAGAAUAAUAGAAAUAAUUCUUGAGUUUUAAAAGCAUGAACACCACCUUAUUAAAAAAACAUUUCCUACAGAGUAAAACCCGAGUAUACCUUCCUUUUAUUGCUCUGGUGAUGCAUGGCACUUUCUUUCCCUAAUGAUACACUUUGUUCCCUCCAUAGCCUUACACUGUUCUCAUAAUGCAUGGUGCUGCAAUUUCUUUCCCCAAUGACACACUUUUGUACUGACUUAUUCAUGGCAGAAUAUGAUGUAGAAUACAAUUUUAUAUUUAUGAAUAAAAGUCAAGUUUUAAUUCUUCA